AAUGGAAUUUCUGGUUCAUAAGAUAAGUACAUGUUUAACUUUAUGAGAAACUGCAAAACUAUUUUCGAAAGUGGCUGUAUCGUUUUGCAUUCCCACCGGAAAU
rnacentral:pre_miRNA from 1 species